AAGUCGUAACAAGGUUUCCGUAGGUGAACCUGCGGAAGGAUCAUUAACAAAAAUUUAUAUUGAAUGUUAAUUAUUCACCCAAUUUUAAUGUGAAGUUUUGGUUAAAAGUGUGAUAACUCUGGUAUGGUUUUUUCAGACGGUUGUCUUUUUGAGAUGAGGUUUGAAAAUGAAUUGCCUGCCAGUAGUUUUUAUCUAAUAAACCACUGUUAUAUUUUGUGUGUGUAUUUGUUAUACUGAUGAAAGUUUUAUGAAGAACUCUGAUCAAUUUCACCUGAAAUGGGUCAAAAGUUUAACAGAAACUGAAUUCAAAAUUUUAACUCAAUACAACUUGCAACAAUGGAUCUCUUGGCUCUU
rnacentral:misc_RNA from 1 species